rnacentral:rRNA from 1 species
CAGCCGCCCGGGAAUACGGAGGAUCCAAGCGUUAUCCGGAAUCAUUGGGUUUAAAGGGUCCGUAGGCGGUCUUGUAAGUCAGUGGUGAAAGCCCAUCGCUCAACGGUGGAACGGCCAUUGAUACUGCAGGACUUGAAUUAUUGGGAAGUAACUAGAAUAUGUAGUGUAGCGGUGAAAUGCUUAGAGAUUACAUGGAAUACCAAUUGCGAAGGCAGGUUACUACCAAUUGAUUGACGCUGAUGGACGAAAGCGUGGGUAGCGAACAGGAUUAGAUACCCGAGUAGUCCCUGUCUCUUAUACA